UACGGAGGGGGCUAGCGUUGUUCGGAAUUACUGGGCGUAAAGCGCGCGUAGGCGGACCUGCAAGUCGGGGGUGAAAGCCCGAGGCUCAACCUCGGAACUGCCUUCGAUACUGCGGGUCUCGAGUCCGGGAGAGGUGAGUGGAAUUCCUAGUGUAGAGGUGAAAUUCGUAGAUAUUAGGAAGAACACCAGUGGCGAAGGCGGCUUACUGGUCCGGUUCUGACGCUGAAGCGCGAAAGCGUGGGGAGCAAACAGG
rnacentral:rRNA from 1 species